rnacentral:misc_RNA from 1 species
GAAAUGCGAUAAGUAAUGUGAAUUGCAGAAUUCAGUGAAUCAUCGAAUCUUUGAACGCACCUUGCGCUCCUUGGUAUUCCUUGGAGCAUGCCUGUUUGAGUAUCAUGAAAUCUUCAAAGUAAAUCUUUUGUUAACUCAAUUGGUUUCUACUUUGGUAUUGGAGGUCUUUGCAGCUUCACACCUGCUCCUCUUUGUUCACUAGCUGGAUCUCAGUGUUAUGCUUGGUUCCACUCGGCGUGAUAAGUUAUCUAUCGCUGAGGACACUGUAAAAGGUGGCCAAGGUAAAUGCAGAUGAACCGCUUCUAAUAGUCCAUUGACUUGGACAAUACUUUUAUGAUCUGAUCUCAAAUCAGGUAGGACUACCCGCUGAACUUAAGC